GUCAUUUUAAAAGUAACUUUGUUUUUAUAAAAAUGAAAUAAUUACUCAUUAACUUAUUUAUAUACAAAAUACAAUAAGGAAAUUUUUUAGCCUAACCAAAUUUUAUAAUACUGCGCCCUGGAUAACAGAAAUCUUUGCUUUUAAUUUUUUAUUUUUUAAUGCUGCUCUCUUGUAGCAUAGGUGCACUUGCAUGUACAAUUUUCUACAAUCGUCGCAGACAUUAAUCUAUAGACAUCCACUUUCCUAUUUCUCUAGCCUUAUUGAUCAGUGCUUUUCGUUAAAGAAUCCCGCAAAAUUUUCAAAAUCCAUUCAUGCUCAGUUGAUAAAAUUAUCUUUUAAUACGAAUACUUUUUUGGGCAAUCGCUUUAUUGAGCUUUAUCUAAAAUCUGGGUCUGCAAAUGACGCUCUAAGGGCUUUUCAUGAAUUACCCGACAAAAAUGUUUUCUCUUGGAAUUUGUACUUGAAAGUGUUCGUCAAAUGCUUUGACAUGCUAAUGGCGCGUCAAGUGUUUGAUGAAAUGCCUGAAAGGGAUGUUGUGAGUUGGAAUUCGAUGAUAUCGGGGUAUGUUUCAGGUGGAUUUUUGGAGAAUGCACAAGACAUGUUUUUGGAAAUGCAAAACAGUGGCGUUAAACCAAGUAGCUUCACGUUUUCAACUUUGAUUUCUUGCGUGAAAUGUGCCGAUUAUGGAAAGCAAAUGCAUGGCAAUAUCACAAGGAAUGGUUUUGAUUAUUCAAAUUUGGUGGUUGGAAAUGCAUUAAUAGAUUUGUAUGGAAAGCUUGGUUUAGUGGAUUAUGCGGUUGGUGUGUUUUUUACUAUGCCAAAAGUGGAUGUGAUUUCUUGGAAUUCUUUGAUUUCUGGCUGUUGUAAAUCUGGUUAUGAAAAACCUGCAUUAAGUCAUUUCUGCUCAAUGAGAGGUAAGGGGCAUAAAGCUGAUGAGUAUACGAUGUCGGCAGUGCUUACUGCUUGCACUAAUUUGCAGAAUUUGGAAGCAGGUAAAAGUAUUUUAUGUCUUUGCAUGAAGAUGGGGUUUCUUUGGAAUACAAUUGUUUCUAGUGCAGCCAUUGAUCUGUUUUCCAAAUGCAACAGAAUGAAGGAUGCAAUUUGCUUGUUCGAUGAGUCAAAUAUAUUUGAUUCAGCUCUUUCCAAUUCGAUGAUCGCUUGCUAUGCAAGGAAUGGAUUAAUGGAGAAUGCACUGGAACUUUUUGUCCUUGCAUUAAGGGAGAAUAUCAGACCAACGGAAUUCACACUCAGCUGUGUUGUUGGAUCUGCUGCUGUCUUCCUUCCGUCGGAGCAGGGGAGUCAGGUCCAUUCUUUGGUGGUCAAAUCAGGAUUUGAAUCGGACGAUGUUGUUGCCAGUUCACUAGUUGAAAUGUAUGGUAAGUAUGGGUUAAUCGACUCUGCCUUGAAUAUCUUUUCUAAUAUGAGUACAAAAGAUUUGAUAUCUUGGAAUACUAUGAUAAUGGGAUUGGCUUACAAUGGCAAAGCAAUCGAAUCCCUUAGCAUUUUUGAGGAACUACUUGAAAGUGGUUUACAUCCCGAUCAUAUAACACUUUCUGGUAUUCUUUUAGCCUGCAAUUACGGUGGCCUUCCUGAGGAAGGGAUGGCCAUUUUUUCUUCGAUGGAAAAGGAAUAUGGAAUUACUCCAAGAAACGAGCAUUAUGCUUAUGUUGUAGAUACGAUCAUGAGGGCAGGUAACAUUGAAGAUGCAAUUUCAAUAUUAGAAACAAUGCCACUCAGUGCUGCUCUUUUUUCGGAAUCUGUGCUUCGAACUUGUGGACAUCUUGAAAACCUGGAACUAAUUGAAAGAGUCACAAAGAGGAUGAUGGAGUUGGAACCACAAUCAUCUCUUCCUUACUUGGUGUUGGCCCACGCAUAUGAACAAAGGGGUAAAUGGGAGAGCCUUGUACGAGUUAGGAAAGUGAUGGAGAAGAUGCCGACAAAGAAAGUAGUUGGCUGCAGUUGGAUUGGAUUAAAAGACCAUGUCUAUGCUUUUGAAGCAAACCAAAUGAUUCAGCAUGGUGGAAAGGAUGUUUAUUUAAUUUUGAAAUUAUUGAUGCAAGAAGUGCAGGAAGAAAACAAUCCUUUGCAGAUUAUUGACAUAAGAGAGUAGAGAUUGUGCCAUGUUGUUCAUUGACAUGGCUAUCCAUACAGUUUGGCAUCUUUCUGUAGUCACGAUCUUGGCAAAACUCGUGCACUUGGAAUAAAGGUGGUGAUUUGUCGAAUCAAUUCUGCACGAGACUCAAAACAGGCUACUAGUGUGAGAUCUGAGCGUAUUCGAGACGAAAUUAAGUGGUUGACAUGAAAUGAGACUUCAUAGCUAUAAUAUGGAAGAAAAUAAAGGCGUGUCAGUGUCAUUGUUUGCAGUAAAUAUUGCAUGGAUGACUUAUGGGAUUUCAACUGGAAGAGGAUGAAAGAUUUCUGUUUCUAGGGGAUUUACUAGCCAACUCUCGCAUAUUGUUCUGAUUCAGACUGCUUUGAAAAUGGCUCAGGUGCUUUGCGGCUAUGCUUUUAGUAAUUUGGAAUGCAUAAUCAGUUCAAUUCUUGAUGCUAAAUUUUUGUUUUAACUGGUUUCAUAGUGCAGGAACAUCUGAAUUCGUGGAAAGCAUAAACGCGCACGAGGAAAGAGAGAUUUAUAGUGAUUCACUCACAAUGUGGCAGGUGCUGAUAUGAUCCAGGAGAAUUACAAGCCCUUCGUUAUAUGUUGCUAGAUCUAGCAAAGGAACUUAAAAGAGACCUUCAGAGAGAAUGCUGAUGGUGUAAAUGUGUAAUGCCCUGAACCCGUUUGACUUAUCACAUGGUUGUUAGGGUUACAGCCGUAAUCCCAAUCCUGAAAGCAAUUAUGGAGAAAUGGAAAACAUAAACGCACGCUCGGAACCAGAAAUUUAUAGUGUUUCACUCUCACCUCUGCUGAUUUUUCACCAUGAUCAAGGAGAAUUACUAGUUCCGACUUCUAACAUACUGAAAAGACGUCCCCCUCAGAUUCUUAUUUGUAGUGUCAAUUCAGAUAAAAGUAGAGGUGUACUUGGGCUGCAAUGGCUUAAAGAAUCUUGAUUUUCCUGGUUCUUGAAGAUUGUUGGAUGUCAAAUUCUCAGUAUAGUCAUCCUAAGUCUUAAAAAACCAUCAAGUUUAAUUUAUACAAGCUAUGCGGACCCAUUAGUCCUUUCUUUUGUUGCGUUAAGCCCCCGUUAUCAUUUACUUUACAUUCUUU
rnacentral:lncRNA from 1 species